rnacentral:rRNA from 1 species
GACGGACGCUGGCGGCGUGCUUAACACAUGCAAGUCGAACGGAAAGGCCCCAGCUUGCUGGGGUACUCGAGUGGCGAACGGGUGAGUAACACGUGGGUGAUCUGCCCUGCACUCUGGGAUAAGCCUGGGAAACUGGGUCUAAUACCGGAUAGGACCGUGCUUUAGUGUGUGCGGUGGAAAGUUUUUCGGUGCAGGAUGAGCCCGCGGCCUAUCAGCUUGUUGGUGGGGUAAUGGCCUACCAAGGCGGCGACGGGUAGCCGGCCUGAGAGGGUGUACGGCCACAUUGGGAAUGAGACACGGCCCAGACUCCUACGGGAGGCAGCAGUGGGGAAUAUUGCACAAUGGGCGCAAGCCUGAUGCAGCGACGCCGCGUGGGGGAUGACGGCCUUCGGGUUGUAAACCCCUUUCGGCAGGGACGAAGCUUUUGUGACGGUACCUGCAUAAGAAGCACCGGCUAACUACGUG